rnacentral:lncRNA from 1 species
UCAAAUAUAUUUGUUUAGUAUAGGGAGUCUGUACAAGUUACUUGGGAUUGACUUGGCUCCUGGGGCAACAGAACUUUGUUCUAAGUUCUAAUGCCAUUGUUAAAAUCAAUGAGUCAUCAAUAGGGCACUAGAGAUAAUUGAGAAGCUGCCCUGUUGGGAGGGGUAGAUAACUAGAAAAACAGCAGCAUGAAGUGUGCAUUGGAGUACUUAAUGGUGGCACCUGGGCAAAUUAUUCUAGGCAUGUCUGCACAGACCUCAAAUGAUGGAGUCAACUGCAAAGGAGCAGUUAUGAUAACAUCCUUCCUGUCUCAUUCACAGGGUUACUGUGGGAAUGAAUCAGUCAAUGUAAUCAAAAAUGCUGCAUACAGACAGUGUAAACUGUGACUGUCUUGUAAGAGUGCCAUGUCAUGGGCAGCACUAUGGAGCGAUACACAUGACAAGCCUUUUGCCAACAACCAUGAUUCUCCUCCCCUCCUCUGGCUGUCCUUUGUCAGACUCUACAAUCAUCGCUAGAAGAAAAAAGUUGACUUAACCGUUCUUUGUUGAAAUUCGGGACUAUGUUAGAGAUACCAGGUCUCAAUCAAAUACAGCCUUCAUUAAAAGAUUCUUACGUAACCAGAUCCUAUGAGCAGAGAGCCAUCAUGCCUCCAACUUAGUUUCUUCAGAUUGGCUGGUUUUGGUGCUCAGCUUUUGACUUUACCCACCUUCCUGACAAAGUUUUGAGGACCACUAGGUAAGCAUGCUAUCUUCAACAUUAAAAAAAAAAUCAUGAUUGAAGGCAGCUGCACUUCAUAUAUCAAGGAGCAUUGAAUAUAACUAACUCUAAAACUUCAUCAGGUCAUGAGGUUGUAUUGACAUCAGUGUAUUUGGAUUCAGCUGCGAUAAUCACGUGGCGCAGUCUCUUUUCCUCCCCGCAAUGCCCUGCCUCCCUUGGAAGACUCUCUCCACCCCACCCCAGCCCCAUUCAGCUUCGUUCAGAAAAACCUUCAUUUUUAUCUUCCAUUAAAGUUUGUUUGAUGAAAAGGCUCUGAGGCUCAAAUGACAGCUCAGUUGUUUGAAACCUGCUGG